AUCUUAUUGGUCGAUGAAGAAAUGACUGGCCUGACACGCUGGUAAAAAACUGAACUAAAAGUUUAGAUGGUAGAUGUAAGCACGUAUAUUCAUUCCUUUAGAAACAGCGUCGUUGAAGUGGCGUGCCUGACGUAUUUUAAUAUUAUAUUUUGUUAGUUAUUACACUAAUUGGAAAUGGAUUCCACCAAUUCGCAAGCUUUUUGGGAAGGUGACCUGCACCCAAGCUGAUUUAUUCCUAAUACCUGAACUAGAUGAAAGCAUUGCCCAAUUAUAUAAACUAUGGUAGCAAUUUCUCGAUUUCAUUGAUGCUGAAACAACAAAAGUUAUGGAUCCAUUUGUUCCAACUACCAACAAUGAAGAAACAUGAUUGACCUGGAUUGAUUGUAUUUUACAAUAAUUUGUUCCAGCAAUAAAGUUAUUUGUUGGACAGAAAAACCUAGAAUGAUAACCCGAAUUUGGGCCUAUACAAAUUUGUAAAUAAAUAAAUUUAUUUUAUUUUCA